CGGGACUGGUGGGGAACAUGAAACAUCUCCAGAAGAUGGCGGUAGUGCAACACUAAGGACGAAAGCGGCCGUUAAACCCCAAAGAGGAGGAAGAAGUCGCUGCUCGAGCCCUCCACGCGUCUUCCAUAGACAUUUAAUAUGGAAUUCAUAAAUAUACAGUCUAUGGUCUCUUGUCAUACCUGGUGAUAGUUUAGAAGCGGGUUAAACAAGGGGAGUCUCCGAGGAAAGCUGGGAGAGAUGAACAGUGAAAACUUCAGCCUGGGUGAGAAGAUAGUGUCAACCUCCUACAUUCGACAGGGGAGGGAGGCACGUCGUAGCCAUGAGCAGCUCAUCAGACACCUACUGGAGCAGGUAAGGAGAACAGCUGUUCAGCUGUUGUACAGCAGCUGCUGUUUACUUAA